UUAAGCGACUAAGCGUACACGGUGGAUGCCCUGGCAGUCAGAGGCGAUGAAGGACGUGCUAAUCUGCGAUAAGCGUCGGUAAGGUGAUAUGAACCGUUAUAACCGGCGAUUUCCGAAUGGGGAAACCCAGUGUGAUUCGUCACACUAUCAUUAACUGAAUCCAUAGGUUAAUGAGGCGAACCGGGGGAACUGAAACAUCUAAGUACCCCGAGGAAAAGAAAUCAACCGAGAUUCCCCCAGUAGCGGCGAGCGAACGGGGAGCAGCCCAGAGCCUGAAUCAGUGUGUGUGUUAGUGGAAGCGUCUGGAAAGGCGCGCGAUACAGGGUGACAGCCCCGUACACAAAAAUGCACAUACUGUGAGCUCGAUGAGUAGGGCGGGACACGUGGUAUCCUGUCUGAAUAUGGGGGGACCAUCCUCCAAGGCUAAAUACUCCUGACUGACCGAUAGUGAACCAGUACCGUGAGGGAAAGGCGAAAAGAACCCCGGCGAGGGGAGUGAAAAAGAACCUGAAACCGUGUACGUACAAGCAGUGGGAGCCUCUUAAUGGGGUGACUGCGUACCUUUUGUAUAAUGGGUCAGCGACUUAUAUUCUGUAGCAAGGUUAACCGAAUAGGGGAGCCGAAGGGAAACCGAGUCUUAACUGGGCGUUAAGUUGCAGGGUAUAGACCCGAAACCCGGUGAUCUAGCCAUGGGCAGGUUGAAGGUUGGGUAACACUAACUGGAGGACCGAACCGACUAAUGUUGAAAAAUUAGCGGAUGACUUGUGGCUGGGGGUGAAAGGCCAAUCAAACCGGGAGAUAGCUGGUUCUCCCCGAAAGCUAUUUAGGUAGCGCCUCGUGAAUUCAUCUCCGGGGUAGAGCACUGUUUCGGCAAGGGGUCAUCCCGACUUACCAACCCGAUGCAAACUGCGAAUACCGGAGAAUGUUAUCACGGGAGACACACGGCGGGUGCUAACGUCCGUCGUGAAGAGGAAACAACCCAGACCGCCAGCUAAGGUCCCAAAGUCAUGGUUAAGUGGGAAACGAUGUGGGAAGGCCCAGACAGCCAGGAUGUUGGCUUAGAAGCAGCCAUCAUUUAAAGAAAGCGUAAUAGCUCACUGGUCGAGUCGGCCUGCGCGGAAGAUGUAACGGGGCUAAACCAUGCACCGAAGCUGCGGCAGCGACACUAUGUGUUGUUGGGUAGGGGAGCGUUCUGUAAGCCUGUGAAGGUGUACUGUGAGGUAUGCUGGAGGUAUCAGAAGUGCGAAUGCUGACAUAAGUAACGAUAAAGCGGGUGAAAAGCCCGCUCGCCGGAAGACCAAGGGUUCCUGUCCAACGUUAAUCGGGGCAGGGUGAGUCGACCCCUAAGGCGAGGCCGAAAGGCGUAGUCGAUGGGAAACAGGUUAAUAUUCCUGUACUUGGUGUUACUGCGAAGGGGGGACGGAGAAGGCUAUGUUGGCCGGGCGACGGUUGUCCCGGUUUAAGCGUGUAGGCUGGUUUUCCAAAUCCGGAAAAUCAAGGCUGAGGCGUGAUGACGAGGCACUACGGUGCUGAAGCAACAAAUGCCCUGCUUCCAGGAAAAGCCUCUAAGCAUCAGGUAACAUCAAAUCGUACCCCAAACCGACACAGGUGGUCAGGUAGAGAAUACCAAGGCGCUUGAGAGAACUCGGGUGAAGGAACUAGGCAAAAUGGUGCCGUAACUUCGGGAGAAGGCACGCUGAUAUGUAGGUGAAGUCCCUUGCGGAUGGAGCUGAAAUCAGUCGAAGAUACCAGCUGGCUGCAACUGUUUAUUAAAAACACAGCACUGUGCAAACACGAAAGUGGACGUAUACGGUGUGACGCCUGCCCGGUGCCGGAAGGUUAAUUGAUGGGGUUAGCGGUAACGCGAAGCUCUUGAUCGAAGCCCGGUAAACGGCGGCCGUAACUAUAACGGUCCUAAGGUAGCGAAAUUCCUUGUCGGGUAAGUUCCGACCUGCACGAAUGGCGUAAUGAUGGCGGGCUGUCUCCACCCGAGACUCAGUGAAAUUGAACUCGCUGUGAAGAUGCAGUGUACCCGCGGCAAGACGGAAAGACCCCGUGAACCUUUACUAUAGCUUGACACUGAACAUUGAGCCUUGAUGUGUAGGAUAGGUGGGAGGCUUUGAAGUGUGGACGCCAGUCUGCAUGGAGCCGACCUUGAAAUACCACCCUUUAAUGUUUGAUGUUCUAACGUUGGCCCCUAAUCGGGGUUGCGGACAGUGUCUGGUGGGUAGUUUGACUGGGGCGGUCUCCUCCUAAAGAGUAACGGAGGAGCACGAAGGUUGGCUAAUCCUGGUCGGACAUCAGGAGGUUAGUGCAAUGGCAUAAGCCAGCUUGACUGCGAGCGUGACGGCGCGAGCAGGUGCGAAAGCAGGUCAUAGUGAUCCGGUGGUUCUGAAUGGAAGGGCCAUCGCUCAACGGAUAAAAGGUACUCCGGGGAUAACAGGCUGAUACCGCCCAAGAGUUCAUAUCGACGGCGGUGUUUGGCACCUCGAUGUCGGCUCAUCACAUCCUGGGGCUGAAGUAGGUCCCAAGGGUAUGGCUGUUCGCCAUUUAAAGUGGUACGCGAGCUGGGUUUAGAACGUCGUGAGACAGUUCGGUCCCUAUCUGCCGUGGGCGCUGGAGAACUGAGGGGGGCUGCUCCUAGUACGAGAGGACCGGAGUGGACGCAUCACUGGUGUUCGGGUUGUCAUGCCAAUGGCACUGCCCGGUAGCUAAAUGCGGAAGAGAUAAGUGCUGAAAGCAUCUAAGCACGAAACUUGCCCCGAGAUGAGUUCUCCCUGACUCCCUGAGAGUCCUGAAGGAACGUUGAAGACGACGACGUUGAUAGGCCGGGUGUGUAAGCGCAGCGAUGCGUUGAGCUAACCGGUACUAAUGAACCGUGAGGCUUAACCU
rnacentral:rRNA from 1 species